AGAGUUUGAUCCUGGCUCAGGAUGAACGCUAGCGGCAGGCCUAAUACAUGCAAGUCGAGGGGUAAGGUCAAGCUUGCUUGACACACGACCGGCGCACGGGUGAGUAACGCGUAUGCAACCUACCUUUAACUGGGGAAUAGCCCCGAGAAAUCGGGAUUAAUACCCCAUAAUAUUCUGAAGAGGCAUCUCUUCGUUUUUAAAGCUCCGGCGGUUAAAGAUGGGCAUGCGUAACAUUAGCUUGUUGGUGAGGUAACGGCUCACCAAGGCAACGAUGUUUAGGGGGUCUGAGAGGAUGAUCCCCCACACUGGUACUGAGACACGGACCAGACUCCUACGGGAGGCAGCAGUAAGGAAUAUUGGUCAAUGGACGCAAGUCUGAACCAGCCAUGCCGCGUGAAGGAUGACGGCCCUAUGGGUUGUAAACUUCUUUUAUACGGGAAGAACUCCCCCAACGUGUUGGGGGCUGACGGUACCGUACGAAUAAGCACCGGCUAACUCCGUGCCAGCAGCCGCGGUAAUACGGAGGGUGCAAGCGUUAUCCGGAUUUAUUGGGUUUAAAGGGUGCGCAGGCGGGAUAGUAAGUCAGUGGUGAAAUCCUACAGCUCAACUGUAGAACUGCCAUUGAUACUGCUAUUCUUGAGUACAGUUGAAGUGGGCGGAAUGUGUUGUGUAGCGGUGAAAUGCAUAGAUAUGACACAGAACUCCGAUCGCGAAGGCAGCUCACUAAGCUGUAACUGACGCUGAGGCACGAAAGCGUGGGGAGCGAACAGGAUUAGAUACCCUGGUAGUCCACGCCGUAAACGAUGAUCACUCGCUGUUGGCGAUAUACUGUCAGUGGCUGAGCGAAAGCAUUAAGUGAUCCACCUGGGGAGUACGAUCGCAAGGUUGAAACUCAAAGGAAUUGACGGGGGCCCGCACAAGCGGAGGAGCAUGUGGUUUAAUUCGAUGAUACGCGAGGAACCUUACCUAGGCUUAAAUGCAGAACGACGUUUCGUGAAAGCGGAAUUUCUUCGGACGGUCUGCAAGGUGCUGCAUGGUUGUCGUCAGCUCGUGCCGUGAGGUGUCGGGUUAAGUCCCAUAACGAGCGCAACCCCUAUUCUUAGUUGCCAUCAGGUCAUGCUGGGGACUCUAAGAAAACUGCCUACGCAAGUAGUGAGGAAGGUGGGGAUGACGUCAAAUCAGCACGGCCCUUAUGCCUAGGGCUACACACGUGCUACAAUGGUCGGUACAGAGGGCAGCUACCUGGUGACAGGAUGCAAAUCUCGAAAGCCGGUCUCAGUUCGGAUCGAAGUCUGCAACUCGACUUCGUGAAGUUGGAUUCGCUAGUAAUCGCGCAUCAGCCAUGGCGCGGUGAAUACGUUCCCGGGCCUUGUACACACCGCCCGUCAAGCCAU
rnacentral:rRNA from 1 species